rnacentral:lncRNA from 1 species
AUGCCUUAAUCUUAGAUGGUUUCUUAAUCGUCUGCAGUCCGGAUCUAAAUCUGGAGGCAGAUCAAUAUGCAUGCACAUCAAUGGUCUUUUUCUAAUUUUAGCAUAAUUAUUUUCUUAAUCUUUGAUUUGUUGGCUAUCUAUUAAUUGUUAAUAAAUUUGAAUGCUUACUUUCUCUAGAUCUGAAUUGUCUCACAUCAAUUUUGGUAUCAGAGUUAGGAUAGAUUAGAGC